UACGGAGGGAGCUAGCGUUGUUCGGAAUUACUGGGCGUAAAGCGCGCGCAGGCGGCCGUUUAAGUCUGGUGUUAAACCCAAGGCUCAACCUUGGGUCGCACUAGAAACUGGGCGGCUGGAGUGCAGGAGAGGAAAGUGGAAUUCCACGUGUAGCGGUGAAAUGCGUAGAGAUGAUGGAGGAACACCAGUGGCGAAGGCGACUUUCUGGCCUGUAACUGACGCUGAGGCGCGAAAGCGUGGGGAGCAAACAGG
rnacentral:rRNA from 1 species